ACCUUUUCUAUUAGUGCUUACAUUGUAAAAACUUGUAAUUUUCUCACUUUUUAAAUCACAUGAACCAGUAAAGGUAUCAAAAUUCUGUUCCUCAUAAUUUUAACUGUUGCUAUUGUCGCUGUUUUCUGGUACAUGAUAUACCAUUAUUUUAUCAGAAAAGAUUAAACAUUUAUUUCAAAAAUGGCCCAAUUUCAUGUUCCGCAAACUGCCACGCUGCGAAGGGGCGCUGUUAAAGUGUAACCUCAGAUAGGGCCACGACCUUAGUACACUGCAACAAAAAUAUUAUACUUUCUACACUUUUCGAGAUACUUUCAUAUAAUACACAUACAAAGUGACGCCUUGAUGGACGAUACUUUCCAUCCAAAGAAAUUAUGCAAAUAGGAAAUGUGCGAAAAGCAGCGCAUCGGAAAACUGUCAAAUAAAUCAAAAAUGGACGACCACUUGCCACUGCAACCCGUUUUUCCGGUCAAGUUCGAGCCCAGGGCGACGGUGGCGCCUGGAAACGUGCAAUUAAUCAAGAGUUCAGUAAACGCUUUUAAUGCGAAUCCCGGAGAGCAGUCCACGUCAAUCAAGAUGCGUAUUUUUGCAUGUUCAAAAUUACACAACACGUGAGACCCGGGACAGACUCGGCACAGACGACACCCGGAGCAAUGAACUUGGACUGCCGCGAUCGCCGUCUCGCCCGGCCACCCUCUGAACUUGGAGCUGGAAUCACGGGAAACAGUUCCUUUGCUCCAACUACACUGAGAUACAAGUAUUCAGACAGCUAUUAAAUGGGUAGAUGUGUUCUUGCCUAUUAAAGAUUGGCAUUAUU